UCCAUUCUAGCUCAGGGUUUGCCAUGCUCAGCUCCAUAGCAGCAGCUGCCUGCCCUGCAUCACACACGAGGCACGGAUCUUUCCACACACCAAGGGAAAAAACAUCCUUUUGAACAUUUUUUCCCUCAGGCCUUGUCUCAGAGGGGUGGAUGACUGGGAAAAUGUGUAUCCCUGAGGGUUGGUGACACUUCCCUGGGUGCUCUCAGUGAUCCAGGCACGCGCUGUACAAGAGCUGCAGUGCAGUCACCGCUCAAACAGAGCAGCCACACACUCAGUGACACACUGGGGCUUCAGUGCAGGCCGGGUUUAUGUGUGUUACAGCUCCUUAUCAAUGGGAAACGGGUGAUAAAGGCAUCCCUGGGUGUGUGACAGCCUUAUCACCGUGCAGGGAGCAGCGCUGACACAGCCGUGCCCUGCGGUGUCACACGGAUCGGGACACGCUGAUAAAGCUGCUCUGGGAAAAGCCCUUCCCUGACUGAGCUCCAGGGCUUGUCUGCAGGAGCUGCGUUUGCAGAAAAUCGUGGAAUCAUCUUAAAAUCAUGGAGUGCCCCAUCCCUGGAAGUGUCCAAGGCCAGGUCUGAGCAAGCUGGUGUAGUGGAAGGUGUCCCUGCCCAUGGCAGGGAGUGGGAUGAGAUGGUUUUUAAGGUCAUUUCCAACCCCCAAGAAAGUAUAACACAAAAGGAGAAUGUCUUUUUAUUAGGUACAACUGCUGGGGUGGACUCCAAACAUGGAAAAGCCUUUGGUCUGGAGUGUCUGCCACAUCUCUGGGCCUUCAGGAGAUGACCCUGGUCCUGCUUGGGCUGAUCACAUUCCCAUUUCCACCACCCUGAGCCUUUAGGACUGACAGGAGCCAGGACAGCAACCGGUGCUGGUGACAACCCCAGGGAGCUGUGGGGACCUUGGGCAGCCCUGCUCCCAUCCCAGGCAGGCCUGGAUGAAUCCUCAGUGCCCUGUCAGCAAGAAGAGGACUCAGCACACGUGCAUCAGCCAAGUGACAAAAACAGUCACCUCCUUCUCCCAGCUGUGGGCAAAGGCAGGGCACAGGGAGCCAGACGUGCUUUGUGCUCUCAGAGGAAGUUGGUGAUGAAAGCAGGAGCUCGGGCCUGGCCCACAAUGAGCUGCAGGAUUUUCAGGCAUCUCUUCUUUUCAACUUUCCAGUCAUUUCUGGGUGUUUGAGUGGUUUCUGCUUGAUAUGGCAGCACUUGGGGAUGGGGAAAAGCCCACAAUAGGAUUAUUUAUUAUUUAUUAUUAGUGUGGGCUCACAGUGGUGUGAGAGGAACAUCCAUCAAGGCCCCAGAUGUGCUCAACAGCUGGCAGCUCACUCAGACUGUGGCAGGGGAACCUCCCCAGAGUGUCCUGGAGGGUCCCAGGCAAGGCCCAUGUAGCGGUUUGGGGUCAGUGCCAAGGAUGGGCUGGGAUGUCUGACAAGCCCUGGCAUUCCUGCCUGCUCCAGAGGGACUCAGGUGUCACAGAGGUGCAGAAGAGACAAAUCCAUUGGCAGUUGUUGCAGGGCCUGUGGGUGUCUCUCUGACCAGGUGGAUCUUUGGGAAAGGAUAAAUGCUAAGAGUUGUUAAGGACAGCCAGGAAACAAAACCUCUUUACAAAAAAGAGCCAGCACAGAGGGCUUUGAUUGUUCUGCAGAGUUUUGGGCUCUACCCCGUGUCCCCUCUGACUGCUGUCCCCUUCUGCAGGAGCAGCUGGUGAUGAAGCACAGACCCAGAGGUGCCUCCCAGAGCCUGGGAGAGCAGGGAAACCAGCAGGAGGGACAAAUGAUCUGCACAUCCUGUCCCAAGGGAAUGCUCAGCUCCUCGUUCUCCCUGUCACAGACACUGUAAGAUAUUGGAGAAUCUUUUUUAGUUAUUUAAGGAGGAAUGCAUCAUCUACAGGCCAACAAAACAAAAAUUAGAUGCCAAUUUUGUAAAAGAUGGGCAAGAGCAGGGCUGUAAGACCUUCAAACCUCCUUAAGGCGCACCCAGGCCCUGCCUAAACACAAAGACCUUACAGGAGUGGGAUUGAGCUGGGUCUUGCCCCAGUUCCCUCCAGCUAAAAGCUGCCUUGCAGACACCUUGGUGCUGAGCAGGAGAAGGUGGGGUGGAUUUUGGGGAGCUGCUGGUGGUGAAGGGAGCAGUGCUGGGCUGCCUCACCCACCGCUGGUUUCCGUUUCCCUGCUCUGGCUGUGACUGGAAGUUGCAGCGCUGAAAAACAACAUGGUAAAGGCCCAUCCUCACCCCAUUAACUCUGCUGAGACAAGUGUGGUUGCAGCAGAAGUGAGCCUGGCACAAGGGCUUUCUUUUAUUUUUAGCCUGACUGGAAGGAGAGAGAAUAGAAGUUUUGUCAUUGAGCAAUUUCCGGCCUGGUUUUGCAAACUCCAGAAGAUUCUGGUGCUCAGGUAACCGCGCAAGGCGCUCAGAGCUUUGCACCUCUUCAUCACUUCCCAUCGCCUCUGCCAACCUUUAGCCACAGCAAACGGAGCUGGAAGGGUGAACAUUUGGGAUGGAGGAGGCUGGAAUGAGAAGAAUGGAUUUCCUGCAGCAUCCCUGAUGGAGAUGCAGGGACAGCCUGGGAUCAGGAGGGUGUUGGCACUCGGGGAGGGGCGGGUGUGAAAUGCCAGCUGGAAAAACCUGCUGUGGGCACAGCAAACUGGAGCCCUGCCGGUGAGCACCAGGCUGUGGCUUGGCAGUGGAGCUGACACACUGAGAAAUCAUCUUCCCAGUUACGUCAGAGCCAGGAAACUCUCUCAGCGAGAGAAAUGUCCUUUCCAUUACAAGAUGCACCCACUCAGAACUCAUCCAAAUGGCCGUGCAAAUAUCCCUGAGGGAAGGUUUAGUUUGGGAGCAGAGCUGUGGGUGGUGAAAUGUCACUGGGAGGUUUGGAGACAGCAGCGAGGAUGCUGU